CUGAAACAAAAUGUCUCAACGGUUCAUAACUGAUUUUAUAAGGGUAAUUGAUUGCCAGGUUAUUUGAUUAAUUAUUUAAUGUCAUAUGAAUUCUAAUGUAGCGAAAGGCCAUUCCAUUCCAACCAUUAUGACUUAGUUACUUCAGAACAUUGGUAGGUCCGCGAUAGCAACGGAAGUCGACAACUCAGACAACUCAAAAUGAGCCGCUAUGACCAGUAACCUGUAAACUGAUCCUACUCUCAUAGAUCGACAGACAAAUUUACAAUUUGCAAAUUCAAGUCCGCCACACACGGUCAUGUCUAAACACGUCAAGCCUCUCAUCCCAAACGGCCUGAUAACCAUUCUGUCAGGCUUCAGUCGAGCAUACCUAAGAAAGAGGCCAACUGACCUAGGGCUAUUUGCCAUGUACUACUGUAUGGAACUGCGGAAAUACAGAGAUGAAAUAGCGACCUAUUCACCAAACAAGCUGGUGAAAGAUUUUCAUAAACAUAGAGCCGAGAGACUCUGUGACAAUGCCUAUGAAGAGGAACUGUUGAAGUAUGGAUACAAAGUGACCUCUAAGGAGGAUGUGACGUUUAAUGCCCUGGAGAUCACAUCUCAGGACCUGCAAAUACUAGGCAGUAGUGAGAGACAGAUCAACAGACGGUACUCGACCACCACUAGCCCAUGUGGAGAACAAGUGAACAAUAUUACAGCUCCAUCCGCCAUGGACCUGCAGGUGAACCAAACCCUGGGUUCUGCAGCUAUGGAGCUAGGGGCACUGGUUGGCAACAUUGUACCCACAACAUCAUCAAGCCCUUUUCAACCAACCAACAAUAACGCCAACACCCAACACGUGGCACAUGCAUCCUCCCAGGCAGUAGCAGGUCUGGCAUCCACUGAGAACAAGACUGGUGAAGUUGCUUCACAAGUCAAACCUGGCUCAGCAGAGAUAUUCGCCAGCAGCAGCUGCGAGGCCAGUAUUUCUGGACAGGCCUGUGUUCCCCAGCAUUACACACCCACCAGCCAGGAGGGGGGGUAUGCCUGUGCCGCCAUGCCCACAGAGAUACCCUGCUACCCCAGAUUUCCCCAGAAUUACCCGACAUACCCUCCACCACCACCCUACCUCCCAGGCUUUCAUCCUUAUUAUUUGGACCUCAUGUCUGGCCAAUAUGUCCAGCCGUCCUGCAGAUGCCAGCGAUAUGGCAGAGUGGUAUAUCGUCCCCCUGGUCAGCCAGUGCUGCCCCAGUGCCACCAUGCCGCUCCACUGCCAGUGCCGCAGUGCACUCACCAGCACCUCAGCCCUUCUGCAAGCUGCAUUCAAGUGGCUCCAACCAUGGGGCCCUCCUGCCCCUCUGGAUUGCAGAGCCCUUUCUCACGGUGCAUCCCUGUGCCUGUCCUCGCCAACCACUUUGGCUCUCUUUACUACAGGCCCAAGCAGAGACCCAGGAUGGCCACAGGUGUGCCUGGCUGCAGGAGCGAGUGCCUACCCACAUCCAGACGGCUCAACUGCACUUCCUGCAACGUGAGUGACAGCUCUAGCUAUGCGCCAGAGCCCGCCGCCCAGGCCUCCUAUCAUGGAGGAUAUCGAGGACAGUGUGGGGGUGACGCCAUCCAUGGACCAGUCCCUGCCGGUGCACUAAGGUCCCUGUAUGCCCCUGUGCCGUGCCCCAUUGGACUGCAGAGAAGGGAUGCCCCGGCUCAGCGACCAGGCAGCGCCCCGACUAGGAGGGUUGUUCCAUUGACCACGCAGAACCAGAAUAGCCCGUUCCCAUCCUCAUAAGGGACAGAAUGCCCAGACAGACUGAACGCAAAGUCCUACAACUUUAUCAUCGAUUUUUAUGAUCAAUAAAAUGGCUUCCAGGAGUACGCCACACUUCAAGCCCCCGUUGACCAUCAUCAUCCCAUACGGGCUGAAGAGUUGGCUAGAAUGUCUUUGCAGAGCUAUAUUAAUUGAGGGACCAAGGCAGAUACCGGAAUUUAUUGCCGCCUAUUGCGUUGAGCUGCUGGAAUUUAGAGAACGUAAUCCUGUGAUGGAUACCAAGGAUGUUACACAUCUGUACCAGGAGAUACGGGAGGCAAAUUAUGUCAAAGACUGGAUAGUAUGCCCAGUGCCACAAGCUGCCAUAGACUGCUGCCUGGCUGAGGAGACCCUGUCAGUCAGCCAGAGGACCAAUCCAAGGUCGGCCCAGGAGUUCAAUGUCCCCUCCAGCGAGCCCAUGGGUGGGCCAGAUAGGCAGGUUCAGUCUCUGAGCAGUCCCCCUGGAGAAACCCACCAUAGAACCCACCCUGGAGAUGGACCUCAGUCCAGCCCAGCCGACCUUGGAGGUCAACCCAGCCCAGCUGUGGAAGAGGAGGCCCAGGCCCGGCCAGGCUCUGCUGUGCAGUCAGUCGUGUUCCAGAGAGCUCCAUCAUUGGACAGUCUACUGGAGGCCAACCACUCUCAAGUCUUGAUCAGCGCUCCAACCGAUGACGUCAUCAUCGUCCACUCUGCGAACCUUCAGGAGACCAUUGUCUUCCGAAGCGACAGUCGGACAUAUUCAGGUGUAUCUCCCCGAGGUAGUUUGACCAGGAUUCCUUCGGUUGGUGAGGUUGUUAAGAUUGGGGUGAAUGACACAACAGAGGUGAUGUCUGAUGUGGUGGUGUUCCACCAAGUGCCCUCAGUGGAGAACCUGCCUUGCACGCCGUCUGCCUUGAUUAAUACCUCUUUAGCUGCUGAGGAAACAGUGGAUCAGGUGAUGAGAAGCAGAGAAUUCUUACUGGAGAAUGUGGCGUCUGGCUCGCCAUCCAUUAAAAUGGUGGCUUCAGCUGCAGCUUUGCAGCAGGCAGACACAGAGAAAGUAUCCUCCUCAGAGAUAGUGGGAGUCGGCGCAGCACGGAGAGUGUCCUCAGUCAGGAUACCCAGGGGAGAGGAGAGUGUGGGGAGAACAGUUGAGACACUAAAGAGAUACACAUCUCCACAAAUAUCUCUUCUGUCAGCUCAUUCUGCUGAAUAUCUAAAGGCUACAUACAAGCCAUCCACCUCCAGCCUUGCCAGGGUUUCCUCUGCACCUUGUGGUGAGAGAGAGGCAGCAGCAACUAUUUCACCUAAAUCCAGUCUGGCCAGGGUUUCCUCUGUCUCUACUGGUGAGAGAGCAGCAGAACCAGCCUGUAAAGAAGUCUUCUCUAAUGUGGAGGAGACUUACACAUUACCAUCAACAGAGGACCUUCUGGUGUCUUCAACUGCUUCAGUUGGUAGAAUUUCACCAGAGGUGUCUGCAAUAUAUUCCGAAAGUGUUUUAUCAGGAAGCGCUUUCUCUGAACCAGAAAUAGUUGGUGCAGCACACAGAGUGUCCUCAGUCAGGAUACCCAGUAGAGAGGAGAGUGUGGGGAGAACAGCAGAGACAGCAGAGAGAUGCACAUCUCCCAGAGAAUCUACACAGGCAUCUUUUGUGUCAGACUCUCCAGUGAUGUUUGAAGAAGAUGACUGGUGUGUAAUCACCACUCACUCUGCUUCAAUGAAGAAAGCUGUCAAAUUGGGCCACUCAGAAAAUAUCUCUCCUAUUACUUCACCCAGCAUAGACCUGGCCUGGGAGGAGCUUCUGCAGACAUCAGCAUCCGUCGUGGAUAAAGUAGCCCUCAAGGCUUUCGAGAUUGUGAACCAAAAAUUACAAUGCUCAGGGAUGGAGAUAUCUGAAUUGGCCUCAUCCAACCCUGUGGUUGUGUCUCAGUCUCUUAACACUCUCUCUUAUAAGGAUCUCUCUCACUCGCCUUCAGCUGUGGAGGAAUUCUCUACUGCCACAGCAAGACGCUCAGAAGGUGACAUCACUGAAAGAGCUCCCUCUGAAACAGCAGUAGAGGGAGAAGCAAUCUCUGUUCGGGAGAUUACUCCAGCAGUGUCUGCAAGGUGUUCUGCCAGUAAUGUAUCAGAAAUAGUUCCCUUUGAAACAGUAGUUUUGGGAGCAGCAGUACCAUUAAUGGAGGAGCUAUCAGAGUCACGAACUGCAUUUGCCUUUGUGGGUGAGGCUUCACCAGCAGUGUCUGCCAAUGAUGUAUUAGAAAGAGCUCCCUCUGAAACUGCAGUAGUGGGAGCAGAGCUACCAGAGAGACACACAACUCCAAAAGUAUCUCCACAAACAUCAUUUGUGUCAGCUUAUUCUGAUGAAUUGCUGAAUGCUACAAACCUGUCACCUCAAUCCAGCCUGGCUAGGAUUCCCUCUGGAUAUAUCAGUGAAGGUGUGUCACCAGCAGUGUCUGCAGUAUGUCCUGCUAGUGACUUACCAGAACGAGCUUCCUCUGAAACCACAGUAAUGGAGUCAGCGCCCAGAGGGAUCCACUCUGCACCAUCAAUGGAUGAGCUACUGGUUUUACCAACUUCUGUUGAUGGGUUUUCACCAGCAGUGUCUGCAAGAUCUUCAAGAGGUACUUUGUCAAAAAGAGCUCCCUCAGAAACAGCAGUGGAGGGGGUAAGAUAUUCUGAAAGUGGUUUAUCAGGGAGCGCUUUCUCUGAAACAGAACUAGUUGAUGCUGCACAGAGAGUGUCCUCAGUCAGGAUACCCAGUAGAGAGGAGAGUGUGGGGAGAACAGCAGAGACACCAGAGAGACACACAUCUCCCAGAGUAUCUCCACAGACAUUUUCAGAGUCAGGUACAGAAUUCAUCCAACUCUGUGAUAUACUACUAAUAAGGUCCAUGUCACUAAUUCAGGUAAAAUGUUAAAGAAAAUGUCAGGAUAGCAUCACAACAUACAAAAAACCCCCGGUAUUUCCUCAACUCAUGCUGACGUUACUCCAACAGCUACAGGCUUGUCAUCUAAGCCAGGGCCCCCUCUGAGUGAUUGUCCAACAGAGUCAGGCUCUUUGGAAGUCAUCUUUAAUAUGGAGGAGACUUAUACAACACCAUCUAUGGGGGAGAUUGUUCCUCCAACUCCUGCUGGGGAUGGCAUUUCUGCCUCUACUGAUGAAAGAGCAGCAGAAUCAGCUUCUAGAGAACUGUUGUAUAUGGAUGAGACGUAUAAACCACCAUCAAUGGCAGACCUACCAGGAUCCCCAGCUGCUGUUGGAGGCAUUUCACCAGCAGUGUCUGCUGGAUGUUCACAAAGUGACAUGGCAGAAAAAGCUCCCUCAGAAACAGCAGUAGGCAGACACACAUCUUCCAGAGUACCUCCUAAAGUUCCUCCACAAACAUCCUGGAGCUCAGCUACAGGCUUGGCAUCUAAGUCCAGUUUGGCCAGGGUUCCCUCUGUGUCUCUCAGUGAUGGUGCAAAAGAACCAGCUCAGAUAGACAAAACACUGUCAAUGGAGGAGCUACUGGCAUCUCCAUUGUAUUCUCAGUGGGCAAUGUCACCAGCCGGUUCUGAAAGAGUGUCCUCAGUCAGGAUAUCCAGUAGAGAGGAGAGUGUGGGGAGAACAGCAGAGACACCAGAGAGACACACAUCUCCUGGAGCUUCUCCAAGAGUUUCUCCACAAACCUCUCUUGUAUCAGCUCAUGUUGUUAAAUCUCCGUCUGGUACAGAUAUUUCUCAACAAUCCAGUCUGCCUAGGAUUCCCUCUGCACCAUCAAUGGACAGAUACACAUCUCCCAGAGUUUCUCAAAGAGUUUCUCCACAAUCCAGUCUUGCCAGGAUUCCCUCUGCACCAUCAAUGGAGGAGCUACUGGUGUCUCCAUCUGCUUCUGUUGGUAGAAUUUCUACAGCAGUUUCAAGACGAUCUUUAAGAAGUAGUUUGUCAGAAAGAGCUCCUUCUGAAACAGUCAUAAGAUAUUCUGAAAGCGUUUUAUCAGGAAGAGCUCUCUCUAAAACAGAACUAGUCGAUGCAGCACAGAGAGUGUCCCCAGUCAGGAUACCCAGUAGACAGGAGAGGGUGGGGAGAACACCAGAGAGAUGCACAUCUCCCAGAGUUUCUCCACAAUCCAGUCUGGCCAGGAUUCAAUCUGCACCAUCAAUUGAGGAGCCACUGGUGUCUCCAUCUGCUGCUGUUGGCAGAGAAUCUCCAGCCAGGAGUGGAGUUUCUCUAGUAAUGUCUCUAGGAAUUUCUGCAGCCAAUGUGGUUGGGCCAGUGUGUUUCAAAGAUGUGUCACAGAUUAUGCCGACUAAAAUACCAGAGAAUCAGGGUUCGGCCUCCUCCGCCAGGAUACCCAGUAGACAGGAGAGUGUGGGGAGAACAGCAGAGACACCAGAGAGACACACAUCUCCUGGAGUAUCACCAAGAGCUUCUCCAAGAGUUUCUCCACAAACCUCUCGUACAUUGGCUCAUGUUGGUGAAUCUCCGUCUGGUACAGAUAUUUCUCAACAAUCCAGUCUGCCUAGGAUUCCCUAUGCACCAUCAAUGGACAGAUACACAUUUCCCAAAGUUUCUCAAAGGGUUUCUUCACAAUCCAGUCUGGCCAGGCUUCCCUCUGCACCAUCAAUGGAGGAGCUACUGGUGUCUCCAUCUGCUUCUGUUGGUAGAAUUUCACCAGCAGUUUCAAGAAAAUCUUCAGAAACAGCUCCUUCUGAAACAGUCAUACGAUAUUUUGAAAGUGAUUUAGGAAGAGCUUUCUCUGAAACAGAGCUAGUUGAUGCUGCACUGAGUGUGUCCUCAGUCAGGAUACCAAGUAGACAGGAGAGGGUGGGGAGAACAGCAGAGACACCAGAGAGACAGACAUCUCCCAGAGUUUCUCCAAGAUUUUCUCCACAAACAUCUCUUCUAUCAGCUCAAGUUGGUGAAUCUCUGUCUGGUACAGACAUUGCACCACAAUCCAGUCUGCCCGGGAUUCCAUAUGCAUCAUCAAUAGAGGAGCUACUGAUGUCUCUAACUGCUACUGUUGAAAGAAUUUCACCUGCAGUUUCAAGAUCUUCAAGAAGUAGUUUGUUAGAAAGUGUUUCCUCUGAAAAAGCAACAAUUAAAGCAAUAUACAGAGAAGAGAGUGUAGAGAGAACAGCAGAAACAACAGAGAGUCACACAACUAAACAAGUGUCUUUCAGAGCUCCUUUGGCAACAUCUAAGACAAGACUCGUUUCUGAUGUGGCAAUUUUGUACAGACCAUCCAUUGCUGAAGGCCUUUGUCUUGAGGUCUUGGACAUGGAGUCUGACCAGGUGAAAACACCAAUGAGUGACAUCACUGCACAAGCUCUGUCUCACACUGCAGCAAUGGAAACAGCUCAGGAUACAGUCAGGAUACCCAGUAGAAAGGAGAGUGCAAGGAGAGCAGCAGAAACACAAACAUAUUUUGCAUCAGGAUUGUUGGACAACAGUACACAAGUUUCAGGAACUUCAGUCCACCUUCAUGAAGAGGUGACUGCCCACCCUACAGAAGUGCAGCAGGGGACCCUGCAACUUGGAAUUCCUCUAGGAGUUUCUCUAGCCAAUAUGGUUGGGCCUCAAAACACACGGUCACAGAGUGUGCAGACUGGACCAGAUUAUCAUGGCCCGCCCUUGCAUAGCGUUCCUAUUGAAGCAGGACGUGUCAGUCCUGAUGCUCAGCCUGCCUUCGAGAAUUUCACCAAUCAGGUCUGGACACUAUACCACUUGGCCAAUGAGACGGAGGAGGGCACACUGUCCACUAACACUAUCUCCCAGCCUCCGUUCAAUGGAAGUGCUUUCAUUCGCAACUUUGGGCCUGGACAUGUGUUACUGGCAGAGAGGUCCCCUUCCCCUCAGCAGUCUGACACCCAGUCCUGGUGUGGCCGACCCAGACAACAGCCCCAGCCACCACCUUUCCCGAUGUACCCAAGAAGGGCCUUCACACCCAGGUCACAGAGCACAACCCUUCGCCCUCCACCCCAGCAUCCAACUAUCCUCAACCUGGAGAUCAGCAUCCCCAACUACUUCCUGUUCCUCGAUGGCAACCAGGUGUCCCUGAGCCAGAGCGCUCGUAGUGUUCCGACUGCAAUGUUUUCCAGGUCGAGAUCUGCUGUGGUCAGGGCGGACGACCCCCAGGGGGACCUGUCCUUCUCCGUUCCAAUGGAGAUGGUAAACGGAGGUUCCAGUCGGGACGGUCAGGCCCAGUUCCUGCAGGUCAUCAGUGAUGAAGGAAAUACUGUUUACUCCCCCGCUCUCAUACGCAUUGUCACCUCUGAACCCACAGAGAAAGAGGACCAGGAAGGAUCCGGGAGGUGGCCAACUAGUGCCCCAUUUAAUUGGUAGGGGACUGUUGUCUAGUAUCAAUAAACGUGUGCAUAUCAUUUAAAACGUUCUCC
rnacentral:lncRNA from 1 species